rnacentral:tRNA from 1 species
GGGUGUGUGGCAGAGAGGCCGAAUGCGGCGGGCUGUAAACCCGUUUCCAACGGACACGGUGGUUCGAAUCCAUCCGCACCCACCA